GAACUAGAAGAGCUGUCACCAGUCUCUGGCUCCAGGCAGGAGGAUUGUUAGGAAUCAGCAUCGUCUACUUAUGAAGAUUUAUGGAGAAGCUGACAAACAUUAGGCUUUGAAACAGAACUCAGAUGAGAAAACUGAGGCAUAGAGAAAACAAUAGCUCGUUCAAGCUCACCCAGCUGAAUUCAUCUCUCUCUGGUGGAUGGUAUCUCCUCUUCUUCAUAAGAAGCAUGGCCUUUAAAACUCAAAGGUUCAAGGAAGAUGGAGACUUUACCUCUUUCAUGUUCACAUGGAUGGAGCUGGAACAUAUUCUUCUUAGCAAAGUAUCUCAAGAAUGGAAGAAAAAGUAUCCAAUGUACUCAGCCCUACUAUGAAACUAAUUUAUAGCUUUAAUAUGAAAGCUAUAAUCCAAUUAUAGCCCAAGAA